UAUGAAAUUUUCGAGUGGAAAUUUUUUUGAAAUUUUUUUCUGAUUUUUUAUUCUUUCUUUAGUUUAAAGCAUUAUUUAAGUGAAAAGAAACUUAUUGCAACAAAUUCGCAUUAAAAUAUAUCACAUUUACAAAUUUUGCUGAAUUGCAGAAAAAUGAGGAAAAUUUUACAUUUUCUCAAACAGGGUAAGGAACUUGGUUCCUCGAAUAACUUCUGGGACAGACAUCUGAGGGCAUGGUCGUCCAAGAAGAUAAUGUAGCCAUUGGUGCCAUCUAUCGACCACGAGUUAAAGAUUGGCGAUCCGUUGGAUACCGACCGAGUUAUAAGCAAAACUUGGUGCAAAAAUGAGGAAAAUUUUACAUUUUCUCAAACAGGGUAAGGAACUUGGUUCCUCGAAUAACUUCUGGCACAGACAUCUGAGGGCAUGGCCGUCCAAGAAGAUACUGUAGCCAUUGGUGCCAUCUAUCGACCACAGGUUAAAGAUUGGAGAUCCGUUGGAUACCGACCGAGUUACAGCUAAAACUUGGCGCAAAAAUGAGCUUUAUGAAAUUUUCUAAUUUUUCUAUUUUGUUUUAUUUUUUUAUAAUUUUUUAUUCUGUUUUUUAUUUAAAGCAUUAUUUGAGUGAAAAGAAACUUAUUGCAACCAAUUGGCAUUAAAAAAAUCAAUUUUAUUUUUUUUGCAAAAUUUCUCAAAAAAAACGUAAGGGGUACCCCUUAUGAAAUUUUCGAGUGGAAAAUUUUUUUGAAAUUUUUUUCUGAUUUUUCAUUCUUUCUUUAGUUUAAAGCAUUAUUUGAGUAAAAAGAAACUUAUUGCAACAAAUUCGCAUUAAAAUAUAUCACAUUUACAAAUUUUGCUGAAUUGCAGAAAAAUGAGGAAAAUUUUACAUUUUCUCAAACAGGGUAAGGAACUUGGUUCCUCGAAUAACUUCUGGCACAGACAUCUGAGGGCAUGGUCGUCCAAGAAGAUAAUGUAGCCAUUGGUGCCAUCUAUCGACCACAAGUUAAAGAUUGGAGAUCCGUUGGAUACCGACCGAGUUAUAGCUAAAACUUGGCGCAAAAAUGAGCUUUAUGAAAUUUUCUAAUUUUUCUAAUUUUUUUAUUUUUUUAUAAUUUUUUAUUCUGUUUUUUAUUUAAAGCAUUAUUUGAGUGAAAAGAAACUUAUUGCAACCAAUUGGCAUUAAAAAAAAUCAAUUUUAUUUUUUUUUUGCAAAAUUUCUCAAAAAAAACGUAAGGGGUACCCCUUAUGAAAUUUUCGAGUGGAAAAUUUUUUUAAAAUUUUUUUCUGAUUUUUUAUUCUUUCUUUAGUUUAAAGCAUUAUUUGAGUGAAAAGAAACUUAUUGCAACAAAUUCGCAUUAAAAUAUAUCACAUUUACAAAUUUUGCUGAAUUGCAGAAAAAUGAGGAAAAUUUUACAUUUUCUCAAACAGGGUAAGGAACUUGGUUCCUCGAAUAACUUCUGGCACAGACAUCUGAGGGCAUGGUCGUCCAAGAAGAUAAUGUAGCCAUUGGUGCCAUCUAUCGACCACAGGUUAAAGAUUGGAGAUCCGUUGGAUACCGACCGAGUUAUAGCUAAAACUUGGCGCAAAAAUGAGCUUUAUGAAAUUUUCUAAUUUUUCUAAUUUUUUUUAUUUUUUUAUAAUUUUUUAUUCUGUUUUUUAUUUAAAACAUUAUUUGAGUGAAAAGAAACUUAUUGCAACCAAUUGGCAUUAAAAAAAAUCAAUUUUAUUUUUUUUGCAAAAUUUCUCAAAAAAAACGUAAGGGGUACCCCUUAUGAAAUUUUCGAGUGGAAAAUUUUUUUAAAAUUUUUUUCUGAUUUUUUAUUCUUUCUUUAGUUUAAAGCAUUAUUUGAGUGAAAAGAAACUUAUUGCAACAAAUUCGCAUUAAAAUAUAUCACAUUUACAAAUUUUGCUGAAUUGCAGAAAAAUGAGGAAAAUUUUACAUUUUCUCAAACAGGGUAAGGAACUUGGUUCCUCGAAUAACUUCUGGCACAGACAUCUGAGGGCAUGGUCGUCCAAGAAGAUAAUGUAGCCAUUGGUGCCAUCUAUCGACCACAAGUUAAAGAUUGGAGAUCCGUUGGAUACCGACCGAGUUAUAGCUAAAACUUGGCGCAAAAAUGAGCUUUAUGAAAUUUUCUAAUUUUUCUAAUUUUUUUAUUUUUUUAUAAUUUUUUAUUCUGUUUUUUAUUUAAAGCAUUAUUUGAGUGAAAAGAAACUUAUUGCAACCAAUUGGCAUUAAAAAAAUCAAUUUUAUUUUUUUUGCAAAAUUUCUCAAAAAAAACGUAAGGGGUACCCCUUAUGAAAUUUUCGAGUGGAAAAUUUUUUUAAAAUUUUUUUCUGAUUUUUUAUAAUUUUUCUAAUUUAAAGCAUUAUUUGAGUGAAAAAAAACACAUUGCAACAAAUUCGCAUUAAAAUAUAUCACAUUUACAAAUUUUGCUGAAUUGCAGAAAAAUGAGGAAAAUUUUACGUUUUCUCGAACAGGGUAAGGAACUUGGUUCCUCGAAUAACUUCUGGCACAGACAUCUGAGGGCAUGGUCGUCCAAGAAGAUAAUGUAGCCAUUGGUGCCAUCUAUCGACCACAAGUUAAAGAUUGGCGAUCCGUUGGAUACCGACCGAGUUAUAAGCAAAACUUGGUGCAAAAAUGAGGAAAAUUUUACAUUUUCUCAAACAGGGUAAGGAACUUGGUUCCUCGAAUAACUUCUGGGACAGACAUCUGAGGGCAUGGCCGUCCAAGAAGAUAAUGUAGCCAUUGGUGCCAUCUAUCGACCACAGGUUAAAGAUUGGAGAUCCGUUGGAUACCGACCGAGUUAUAGCUAAAACUUGGCGCAAAAAUGAGCUUUAUGAAAUUUUCUAAUUUUUCUAAUUUUUUUAUUUUUUUAUAAUUUUUUAUUCUGUUUUUUAUUUAAAGCAUUAUUUGAGUGAAAAGAAACUUAUUGCAACCAAUUGGCAUUAAAAAAAAUCAAUUUUAUUUUUUUUGCAAAAUUUCUCAAAAAAAACGUAAGGGGUACCCCUUAUGAAAUUUUCGAGUGGAAAAUUUUUUUAAAAUUUUUUUCUGAUUUUUUAUAAUUUUUCUAAUUUAAAGCAUUAUUUGAGUGAAAAAAAACACAUUGCAACAAAUUCGCAUUAAAAUAUAUCACAUUUACAAAUUUUGCUGAAUUGCAGAAAAAUGAGGAAAAUUUUACAUUUUCUCAAACAGGGUAAGGAACUUGGUUCCUCGAAUAACUUCUGGCACAGACAUCUGAGGGCAUGGUCGUCCAAGAAGAUAAUGUAGCCAUUGGUCCCAUCUAUCGACCACAAGUUAAAGAUUGGCGAUCCGUUGGAUACCGACCGAGUUAUAAGCAAAACUUGGUGCAAAAAUGAGGAAAAUUUUACAUUUUCUCAAACAGGGUAAGGAACUUGGUUCCUCGAAUAACUUCUGGGACAGACAUCUGAGGGCAUGGCCGUCCAAGAAGAUAAUGUAGCCAUUGGUGCCAUCUAUCGACCACAGGUUAAAGAUUGGAGAUCCGUUGGAUACCGACCGAGUUAUAGCUAAAACUUGGCGCAAAAAUGAGCUUUAUGAAAUUUUCUAAUUUUUCUAAUUUUUUUAUUUUUUUAUAAUUUUUUUUUCUGUUUUUUAUUUAAAGCAUUAUUUGAGUGAAAAGAAACUUAUUGCAACCAAUUGGCAUUAAAAAAAAUCAAUUUUAUUUGUUUUGCAAAAUUUCUCAAAAAAAACGUAAGGGGUACCCCUUAUGAAAUUUUCGAGUGGAAAAUUUUUUUGAAAUUUUUUUCUGAUUUUUUAUUCUUUCUUUAGUUUAAAGCAUUAUUUGAGUGAAAAGAAACUUAUUGCAACAAAUUCGCAUUAAAAUAUAUCACAUUUACAAAUUUUGCUGAAUUGCAGAAAAAUGAGGAAAAUUUUACAUUCUCUCAAACAGGGUAAGGAACUUGGUUCCUCGAAUAACUUCUGGCACAGACAUCUGAGGGCAUGGUCGUCCAAGAAGAUAAUGUAGCCAUUGGUGCCAUCUAUCGACCACAAGUUAAAGAUUGGCGAUCCGUUGGAUACCGACCGAGUUAUAGGCAAAACUUGGUGCAAAAAUGAGGAAAAUUUUACAUUUUCUCGAACAGGGUAUGGAACUUGGUUCCUCGAAUAACUUCUGACACAGACAUCUGAGGGCAUGGCCGUCCUAGAAGAAAAUGUAGCCAUUGGUGCCAUCUAUCGACCACAGGUUAAAGAUUGGCGAUCCGUUGGAUACCGACCGAGUUAUAGGCAAAACUUGGUGCAAAAAUGAGGAAAAUUUUACAUUUUCUCGAACAGGGUAUGGAACUUGGUUCCUCGAAUAACUUCUGACACAGACAUCUGAGGGCAUGGCCGUCCUAGAAGAAAAUGUAGCCAUUGGUGCCAUCUAUCGACCACAGAUUAAAGAUUGGAAAUCCGUUGGAUACCGACCGAGUUACAGGAAAAACUUGGUGCAAAAAUGAAGAAAAUUUUACAUUUUAUCAAACAGGGUAAGGAACUUGGUUCCUCGCAUAACUUCUGGCACGGACAUCUGAGGGCAUGACCGUCCACGAAGAAAAUGUAGCCAUUGGUGCCAUCUAGCGACCACAGGUUAAAGAUUGGCGAUUCGUUGGAUACCGACCGAGUUAUAGGCAAAACUUGGUGCAAAAAUGAGCCUUAUGAAAUAUUCAAAUUGAUAUUAUUGUUUAAUUUUUUCUAAACUUUUAUUCUUUUUUAAUUUAAAACAUUAUUUGAGUGAAAAGAAACUUAUUGCAACCAAUUGGCAUUAAAAUAAAUCAAUUUUAAUUUUUUUGCUAAAUUGCUC